rnacentral:rRNA from 1 species
AUUGAACGCUGGCGGCAGGCUUAACACAUGCAAGUCGAGCGAGCGGCGGACGGGUGAGUAAUGUCUGGGAAACUGCCUGAUGGAGGGGGAUAACUACUGGAAACGGUAGCUAAUACCGCAUACCAUAAGAUGGGCCCAGAUGGGAUUAGCUAGGAGGUGGGGUAAUGGCUCACCUAGGCGACGAUCCCUAGCUGGUCUGAGAGGCUGACCAGACACACUGGAACGGAGACAGGAUCCAGACUCUGACGGGAGGCAGGAGUAGGGAAUAUUGCACAGUGGGAGCAAGCCUGAUGCAGCCAGGCCGCGUGUAUGAAGAAGGCCUUCGGGUGGUAAAGUACUGUCAGCGGGGAGGCGUUACCCGCAGAAGAAGCACCGGCUAACUCCGUGCCAGCAGCCGCGGUAAUUC